AUGGUUAAGUUAGAAAGGGCGCACGGUGAAUGCCUUGGCACUAGGAGCCGAUGAAGGACGGGACUAACACCGAUAUGCUUCGGGGAGCUGUAAGUGAGCUUUGAUCCGGAGAUUUCCGAAUGGGGAAACCCACUGUUCGUAAUGGAACAGUAUCUUUAUCUGAAUACAUAGGAUAUUGAAGGCAGACCCGGGGAACUGAAACAUCUAAGUACCCGGAGGAAGAGAAAGCAAAUGCGAUUUCCUGAGUAGCGGCGAGCGAAACGGAAUUAGCCCAAACCAAGAGGCUUGCCUCUUGGGGUUGUAGGACACUCUAUACGGAGUUACAAAGGAACGAAGUAAAUGAAGCGACCUGGAAAGGUCCGUCGAAGAAGGUAACAACCCUGUAGUUGAAACUUCGUUCCCUCUUGAGUGGAUCCUGAGUACGGCGGAACACGUGAAAUUCCGUCGGAAGCUGGGAGGACCAUCUCCCAAGGCUAAAUACUACCUAGUGACCGAUAGUGAACCAGUACCGUGAGGGAAAGGUGAAAAGCACCCCGGAAGGGGAGUGAAAGAGAUCCUGAAACCGUGUGCCUACAAGUAGUCAGAGCCCGUUAACGGGUGAUGGCGUGCCUUUUGUAGAAUGAACCGGCGAGUUACGAUCCCAUGCAAGGUUAAGCUGAUAAGGCGGAGCCGUAGCGAAAGCGAGUCUGAAUAGGGCGUUUAGUAUGUGGUUGUAGACCCGAAACCAGGUGAUCUACCCAUGUCCAGGGUGAAGUUCAGGUAACACUGAAUGGAGGCCCGAACCCACGCACGUUGAAAAGUGCGGGGAUGAGGUGUGGGUAGCGGAGAAAUUCCAAUCGAACCUGGAGAUAGCUGGUUCUCUCCGAAAUAGCUUUAGGGCUAGCCUCAUGUUGUGAGAGUCUUGGAGGUAGAGCACUGAUUGGACUAGGGGCCCCCAACGGGUUACCGAAUUCAGUCAAACUCCGAAUGCCAAAGACUUAUCCAUGGGAGUCAGACUGCGAGUGAUAAGAUCCGUAGUCAAAAGGGAAACAGCCCAGACCACCAGCUAAGGUCCCCAAGUAUACGUUAAGUGGAAAAGGAUGUGGAGUUGCUUAGACAACCAGGAUGUUGGCUUAGAAGCAGCCACCAUUUAAAGAGUGCGUAAUAGCUCACUGGUCGAGUGACUCUGCGCCGAAAAUGUACCGGGGCUAAACGUAUCACCGAAGCUGUGGAUUGACAUCUUUGAUGUCAGUGGUAGGAGAGCGUUCUAAGUGCUGUGAAGUCAGACCGUAAGGACUGGUGGAGCGCUUAGAAGUGAGAAUGCCGGUAUGAGUAGCGAAAGACAAGUGAGAAUCUUGUCCACCGAAUGCCUAAGGUUUCCUGAGGAAGGCUCGUCCGCUCAGGGUUAGUCGGGACCUAAGCCGAGGCUGAAAAGCGUAGGCGAUGGCCAACAGGUUGAUAUUCCUGUACCACCUCCCCGCCGUUUGAGUAAUGGGGGGACGCAGUAGGAUAGGGUAAGCGCGCUGCUGGAUAUGCGCGUUCAAGCAGUUAGGCUGAUGAGUAGGCAAAUCCGCUCAUCAUGAAGGCUGAGCUGUGAUGACGAGGGAAUUAUAGUACCGAAGUUCCUGAUUCCACACUGCCAAGAAAAGCCUCUAGCGAGGCGGGAGGUGCCCGUACCGCAAACCGACACAGGUAGGCGAGGAGAGAAUCCUAAGGUGAUCGAGAGAACUCUCGUUAAGGAACUCGGCAAAAUGACCCCGUAACUUCGGGAGAAGGGGUGCUCUGGUAGGGUGUAUAGCCCGAGAGAGCCGCAGUGAAUAGGCCCAGGCGACUGUUUAGCAAAAACACAGGUCUCUGCGAAGCCGCAAGGCGAAGUAUAGGGGCUGACGCCUGCCCGGUGCUGGAAGGUUAAGAGGAGGGGUUAUCCUUUGGGAGAAGCUCUGAAUCGAAGCCCCAGUAAACGGCGGCCGUAACUAUAACGGUCCUAAGGUAGCGAAAUUCCUUGUCGGGUAAGUUCCGACCCGCACGAAAGGCGUAACGAUCUGGGCACUGUCUCAACGAGAGACUCGGUGAAAUUAUAGUACCUGUGAAGAUGCAGGUUACCCGCGACAGGACGGAAAGACCCCGUGGAGCUUUACUGUAGCCUGAUAUUGAAUUUUGGUACAGCUUGUACAGGAUAGGUAGGAGCCUGAGAAGCCGGAGCGCUAGCUUCGGUGGAGGCGUCGGUGGGAUACUACCCUGGCUGUAUUGAAAUUCUAACCCGCGGCCCUGAUCGGGCCGGGAGACAGUGUCAGGUGGGCAGUUUGACUGGGGCGGUCGCCUCCUAAAAUGUAACGGAGGCGCCCAAAGGUUCCCUCAGAAUGGUUGGAAAUCAUUCGUAGAGUGUAAAGGCACAAGGGAGCUUGACUGCGAGACCUACAAGUCGAGCAGGGACGAAAGUCGGGCUUAGUGAUCCGGUGGUUCCGCAUGGAAGGGCCAUCGCUCAACGGAUAAAAGCUACCCCGGGGAUAACAGGCUUAUCUCCCCCAAGAGUCCACAUCGACGGGGAGGUUUGGCACCUCGAUGUCGGCUCAUCGCAUCCUGGGGCUGUAGUCGGUCCCAAGGGUUGGGCUGUUCGCCCAUUAAAGCGGUACGCGAGCUGGGUUCAGAACGUCGUGAGACAGUUCGGUCCCUAUCCGUCGUGGGCGUAGGAAAUUUGAGAGGAGCUGUCCUUAGUACGAGAGGACCGGGAUGGACACACCGCUGGUGUACCAGUUGUCUUGCCAAAGGCAUCGCUGGGUAGCUAUGUGUGGACGGGAUAAGUGCUGAAAGCAUCUAAGCAUGAAGCCCCCCUCAAGAUGAGAUUUCCCAUAGCGCAAGCUAGUAAGAUCCCUGAAAGAUGAUCAGGUUGAUAGGUCAGAGGUGGAAGCGUGGCGACAUGUGUAGCUGACUGAUACUAAUCGAUCGAGGACUUAACCAAAC
rnacentral:rRNA from 2 species